ACCGCGGCGACUUGGCGGCGGGUGCCAUGCGUCUGGAGCUUCACAUUCUCUGCCCCCCACCCACCGCGCCGGCGCUCCCUUGUCACGCCUCGGGAAGCGCGCACCUGCCAAGCAGGCAAGAAAGAACCCUCAAGUGGAUUGCCUCUGGCAGUUGGAGCCACACCGGUGUUCUCAGAAUACACCCUGUCCUUUCCAAUUUCCUUCAUAUGCGGUAACCACCAACAGUCUUGGAGUAACAAGUCUUAAAUUCUGAUUCUCAGUCGGCUAAAGUAAGAUCCCUUGUGGCCCCAACCACACGCCACUUUCUCUCUGAAAGCCUAUCUGUUCUUGUCAGAACUUCUCUCUUCUUGCUAAAGCAUUUCACUUUCACCUCUGUCUAACAGUUAUAUUUUCUAGCUUUUUAUUAUAGUUGUUUUGAUACCCAUCUACCCAACCUACUAAACUCUGUGCUGUCUGAGGGCAGGUACACUGAACUGUUAAAAUGUCUGAAUCACCUGUGUAUUCUCAGCAUCUAGCACAAUGUUAGGUGUUUAUUAAACACAAUUAAAUUUUUCAUUAGUAUAGUAGCAGAGUGACUGGGCUAAAGUCCUUUAGUUUUAUUGUUUCCAUUCAUCAAUUCCAUCAUAUAUUCUCCCUCGCUUCCACCAAGAAGUACAGAGAAUAAAGAUCCUAUUUUCUUUUCCCUUCCUAUGAAAGGUUUCCAAGAUUACUGAGAAAGAAGAAAGUACUGAGGAGCCUUAUGUAAGUAGAGAACAAAGAGAAUAAUGCCAAUAAAUACAUAUAUUGUUUAAAGCCCUGCAGCUCUUCCUCAAAUCAGAUGAUAACAAGUUCAGAGUGCCAGGAGCAUCUGGCAAAGGGCAUCUGCUGAAACUGAUGUCUCAGAAGAAAAAAAAA
rnacentral:lncRNA from 1 species